AUUGAACGCUGGCGGCAGGCUUAACACAUGCAAGUCGAGCGGGGGAGGUUGCUUCGGUAACUGACCUAGCGGCGGACGGGUGAGUAAUGCUUAGGAAUCUGCCUAUUAGUGGGGGACAACAUUCCGAAAGGGAUGCUAAUACCGCAUACGCCCUACGGGGGAAAGCAGGGGAUCUUCGGACCUUGCGCUAAUAGAUGAGCCUAAGUCGGAUUAGCUAGUUGGUGGGGUAAAGGCCUACCAAGGCGACGAUCUGUAGCGGGUCUGAGAGGAUGAGCCGCCACACGGGGACUGAGACACGGCCCAGACUCCUGCGGGAGGCAGCAGUGGGGAAUAUUGGACAAUGGGCGGAAGCCUGAUCCAGCCAUGCCGCGUGUGUGAAGAAGGACUUUUGGUUGUAAAGCACUUUAAGCGAGGAGGAGGCUCUUAAGGUUAAUACCCUUGAUGAGUGGACGUUACUCGCAGAAUAAGCACCGGCUAACUCUGUGCCAGCCGCCGCAGUAAGAC
rnacentral:rRNA from 1 species